AGUUUGAUCAUGGCUCAGAUUGAACGCUGGCGGAAUGCUUUACACAUGCAAGUCGAGCGGCAGCGCGGGGCAACCUGGCGGCGAGCGGCGAACGGGUGAGUAAUACAUCGGAACGUGCCCAGACGUGGGGGAUAACUACUCGAAAGAGUGGCUAAUACCGCAUACGAUCUAAGGAUGGAAGCGGGGGAUCGCAAGACCUCGCGCGUUUGGAGCGGCCGAUGGCAGAUUAGGUAGUUGGUGGGGUAAAGGCUUACCAAGCCCGCGAUCUGUAGCUGGUCUGAGAGGAUGAUCAGCCACACUGGGACUGAGACACGGCCCAGACUCCUACGGGAGGCAGCAGUGGGGAAUUUUGGACAAUGGGCGAAAGCCUGAUCCAGCCAUUCCGCGUGCAGGAUGAAGGCCCUCGGGUUGUAAACUGCUUUUGUACAGAACGAAAAAGCUCUUUCUAAUACAGAGAGUCCAUGACGGUACUGUAAGAAUAAGCACCGGCUAACUACGUG
rnacentral:rRNA from 1 species